rnacentral:rRNA from 1 species
CAUGCGCAAAUACUGUAUAAUCAUAUUUAUGAUGGUUGUACAGUAGUGUUUAUUAGAUACAGAACCAACAGUGCGCCAUCACUUUUUAGUGGUGGUGUCAAAAGAAAAGGGUGAUUCAUAGUAACCGAACGGGUCGCAUAAUAUUAUAAUCAUUUCGGUGAUUGGCGAUAGAUCAUUCAAGUUUUCUGACCUAUCAGCUUUCGACGGUAGUGUAUUGGACUACCGUGGCAGUGACGGGUAACGGGGAAUUAGGGUUCGAUUCCGGAGAGGGAGCCUGAGAAACGGCUACCACAUCUAAGGAAGGCAGCAGGCGCGCAAAUUACCCAAUCCUGACUCAGGGAGGUAGUGACAAGAAAUAACAACACUGGAAAUUGUAUUUCUAGUGAUUGGAAUGAUGGGAAUCCAAACCCCUUUCAGAGUAACAAUUGGAGGGCAAGUCUGGUGCCAGCAGCCGCGGUAAUUCCAGCUCCAAUAGCGUAUAUUAAAGUUGUUGCAGUUAAAAAGCUCGUAGUUGGAUAUCUGCUGGAAGCAAUCAGUCCGCCCUUUUCGUAAGGGUGUGCACUUGAUGAAUUCUGGCAUGAUUUCAUCCCGAUAAUAUAUAAUGUAUUUUUAUAUUAGGUUGACUCCUAGUAUAAUAAUAUUAUUAUUAUGGGGAUGACAGUUACUUUGAGAAAAUUAGAGUGUUUGAAGCAGGCUUUUGUUGCCUUGAAUACUGCAGCAUGGAAUA